GGAUGUAGCUCAGUGGCACAGCUCCUGCCUGGCAAGCAUGAGGUCCUGGGUUCAGAUCCCAGUACCA
rnacentral:tRNA from 1 species